rnacentral:rRNA from 1 species
GACGAACGCUGGCGGCGUGCUUAAUACAUGCAAGUCAACUUGACUUUAGAUAGCAAUAUCGAAAAGUAGGGUGGCGCACGGGUGCGUAACGCGUAGGUAAUCCGCCCUGAGGUCUGACAUAACCCGUCGAAAGGCGGGCUAACAUCAGAUGAUAUAUAAUCACGACAUCGUGGAAAUAUCAAAUCUUCGGAGCCUUGGGAUGAGCCUGCGUCUGAUUAGGUAGUUGGCGGAGUAAUAGCCCACCAAGCCUACGAUCAGUAGCUGGUCUGAGAGGAUGAUCAGCCACACUGGAACUGAGACACGGUCCAGACUCCUACGGGAGGCAGCAGUAAGGAAUAUUGCUCAAUGGGGAAACCCUGAAGCAGCAACGCCGCGUGAAGGAUGAAAUACUUUUGUAUGUAAACUUCUGUAAGAUGGGAAAAAUAUUACUCCUCGGAGAAUUGAUUGUACCAUCAGAGUAAGCCCCGGCUAACU